UACGUAGGGUGCGAGCGUUGUCCGGAAUUAUUGGGCGUAAAGAGCUCGUAGGCGGUGUGUCGCGUCGGCCGUGAAAACCUGGGGCUCAACUCUGGGCGUGCGGUCGAUACGGGCAUCACUGGAGUUCGGCAGGGGAGACUGGAAUUCCUGGUGUAGCGGUGAAAUGCGCAGAUAUCAGGAGGAACACCGAUGGCGAAGGCGGCACUCUGGGCCGGGACUGACGCUGAGGAGCGAAAGCGUGGGUAGCAAACAGG
rnacentral:rRNA from 1 species